ACUGAUGUCAUUGGUCAAAUUUACACAAAGAAAAAUAGCUUUUAUGAAUGAAAGAGAAAUGUGUUUAUACCACUUGUGUAAGAUUGUUUUGAAUUUGUUGCCUCGUGCCUGCGCCGCCAUUGUAAUUUUACUGCGAAAGAUUGGUUUUGACUUUCCAAUAAUUGAAAUCAUUGAAAUUCGCAUGAGCGCCGCUGGAAUUACUAAUAAUAAGGAUAAAUCUUUCUUGUUAAUUAAUUAUCUUCACUAUUUAAAUAAAUUUUGAUUAAUAAAAAGAUAUACAAUGUAGUUCGAUUCGUGCUUGGUUAUUGAUAAAAGUAAUUUUGUUUUAAAUGUGUUAUUCCCAAGUGUAAAACGCGAUCAAAUUACGUGCUGUACCUUUUACUGAUAGUAGAUAACACUAGAUGGGAGGCAUGGUUCAUCAAUUGUCCAAUAUUACGGAAAUAUACUCGUAGGCAGUUAGAAAACGUUAAAAUUUGUGAAAACCACUUUCUACCCAGAAAAAAGACCUACUUAUUGGUAAUCAACGUGCACAGUGGUCCAUCAUUGAGGAGCUCUAUGCUACAGAUGGUGAAGCCGGACGUGCAAGAACCACAACCCUGACGGAUAAACACAUUAGACCAACUUCUUAUGACAAGAUGAA